UACGUAGGGGGCUAGCGUUGUCCGGAAUCAUUGGGCGUAAAGAGCGUGUAGGCGGCCCGGUAAGUCCGCUGUGAAAGUCGGGGGCUCAACCCUCGGAUGCCGGUGGAUACUGUCGGGCUAGAGUCCGGAAGAGGCGAGUGGAAUUCCCGGUGUAGCGGUGAAAUGCGCAGAUAUCGGGAGGAACACCAAUGGCGAAGGCAGCUCGCUGGGACGGUACUGACGCUGAGGAGCGAAAGCGUGGGGAGCGAACAGG
rnacentral:rRNA from 1 species